GCCUCCAUAGUUUAGUGGUUAGAGCACUGGUCUUGUAAACUAGGGGUGGGGAGUUCGAUUCUCUCUGGAGGCA
rnacentral:tRNA from 1 species